rnacentral:rRNA from 1 species
UUGAACGCUGGCGGCAGGCCUAACACAUGCAAGUCGAGCGGAUGAAGGGAGCUUGCUCCUGGAUUCAGCGGCGGACGGGUGCGUAAUGCCUAGGAAUCUGCCUGGUAGUGGGGGAUAACGUCCGGAAACGGGCGCUAAUACCGCAUACGUCCUGAGGGAGAAAGUGGGGGAUCUUCGGACCUCACGCUAUCAGAUGAGCCUAGGUCGGGUUAGCUAGUUGGUGGGGUAAAGGCCUACCAAGGCGACGAUCCGUAACUGGUCUGAGAGGAUGAUCAGUCACACUGGAACUGAGACACGGUCCAGACUCCUACGGGAGGCAGCAGUGGGGAAUAUUGGACAAUGGGCGAAAGCCUGAUCCAGCCAUGCCGCGUGUGUGAAGAAGGUCUUCGGAUUGUAAAGCACUUUAAGUUGGGAGGAAGGGCAGUAAGUUAAUACCUUGCUGUUUUGACGUUACCAACAGAAUAAGCACCGGCUAACUUCGUG